GCAUAUCAUAAGCGGAGGAAAAGAAACCAACAGGGAUUGCCCUAGUAACGGCGAGUGAAGCGGCAACAGCUCAAAUUUGAAAUCUGGCCCUCUCAGGGUCCGAGUUGUAAUUUGCAGAGGGUGCUUUGGCGAUGGCUGUGGUCUAAGUUCCUUGGAACAGGACGUCACAGAGGGUGAGAAUCCCGUACGUGGCCGCCAGCCUCCGCCGUGUAAAGCCCCUUCGACGAGUCGAGUUGUUUGGGAAUGCAGCUCUAAAUGGGAGGUAAAUUCCUUCUAAAGCUAAAUACUGGCCAGAGACCGAUAGCGCACAAGUAGAGUGAUCGAAAGAUGAAAAAGCACUUUGGAAAGAGAGUCAAAAAGCACGUGAAAUUGUUGAAAGGGAAGCGCUUGCAGCCAGACAUGCCUGUAGUUGCUCACCGGGGCUCUUGCCCUGGGCACUCUUCUACGGGCAGGCCAGCAUCAGUCCGGGCGGUUGGAUAAAUGCCUGCUACAUGUACCUCUCUUCGGGGAGGACUUAUAGGGUAGGCGACAUACAGCCAGCCUGGACUGAGGUCCGCGCAUCUGCUAGGAUGCUGGCGUAAUGGCUGUAAGCGGCCCGUCUUGAAACACGGACCAAGGAGUCUAACAUCUAUGCGAGUGUUUGGGUGUAAAGCCCGAGCGCGGAAUGAAAGUGAACGGAGGUGGGAACCCCUCGGGGUGCACCAUCGACCGAUCCUGAUGUCUUCGGAUGGAUUUGAGUAUGAGCAUAGCUGUUGGGACCCGAAAGAUGGUGAACUAUGCCUGAAUAGGGUGAAGCCAGAGGAAAACUCUGGUGGAGGCUCGCAGCGGUUCUGACGUGCAAAUCGAUCGUCAAAUUUGGGCAUAGGGGCGAAAGACUAAUCGAAACCCAUCUAGUAGCUGGGUUCCUGCCGA
rnacentral:rRNA from 1 species